rnacentral:snoRNA from 14 species
AUCCCCCAUGGCAACAAAUUCCAAUCGUGUGAUUUCUAGCAACGCGAUUGAGCCGACGCCAUGGGAAAGUGUAUUCCAACGGCUAUUAGAUCCCAUUAACGCUACAUUCAAUUAGCGAUCGUGGUUUGCACGUAGUCGACAU